rnacentral:rRNA from 1 species
AGAGUUUGAUCAUGGCUCAGGAUGAACGCUAGCGGCAGGCUUAAUACAUGCAAGACGAACGGUAAGUGGAGUAGUAAUACUUCACCUAGAGUGUCGUACGGGUGCGUAACGGGUAUGCAAUCUGCCCUGUACAGGAGGAUAGCUCCCCGAAAGGGGAAUUAAUACUUCAUAAUAUAAUUGGAUGGCAUCAUUUGAUUAUUAGAGUUGAGGCGGUACAGGAUGAGCAUGCUUCUGAUUAGCUAGUUGGCGGUGUAACGGACCACCAAGGCGAUGAUCAGUAGGGGACCUGAGAGGGUGAUCCCCCACACUGGCACUGAGAUACGGGCCAGACUCCUACGGGAGGCAGCAGUAGGGAAUAUUGGUCAAUGGGUGAGAGCCUGAACCAGCCAUGCCGCGUGCAGGAAGACGGCCUUCUGGGUUGUAAACUGCUUUUACCAGGGGAUAAAAUGGUCUUGCGAGACUAAUUGCAGGUACCUGGUGAAUAAGCCACGGCUAACUACGUGCCAGCAGCCGCGGUAAUACGUAGGUGGCAAGCGUUGUCCGGAUUUAUUGGGUUUAAAGGGUGCGUAGGCGGCCCUGUAAGUCAGUGCUGAAAUAUCCCGGCUUAACCGGGAGGGUGGCAUUGAUACUGCGGGGCUUGAGUACAGAUGAGGUAGGCGGAAUUGACGGUGUAGCGGUGAAAUGCAUAGAUAUCGUCAAGAACACCGAUAGCGAAGGCAGCUACUAAGUUGUAACUGACGCUGAUGCACGAAAGUGUGGGGAUCAAACAGGAUUAGAUACCCUGGUAGUCCACACUGUAAACGUUGAUUACUCGCUGUUUGCGAUACACAGCAAGCGGCCAAGCGCAAGCGAUAAGUAAUCCACCUGGGGAGUACGCCGGCACGGUGAAACUCAAAUGAAUUGACGG